rnacentral:rRNA from 1 species
GGAUUAGCGGCGGACGGGUGAGUAACACGUGGGUAACCUGCCUCAUAGAGGGGAAUAGCCUUUCGAAAGGAAGAUUAAUACCGCAUAAGAUUGUAGUGCCGCAUGGCAUAGCAAUUAAAGGAGUAAUCCGCUAUGAGAUGGACCCGCGUCGCAUUAGCUAGUUGGUGAGGUAACGGCUCACCAAGGCGACGAUGCGUAGCCGACCUGAGAGGGUGAUCGGCCACAUUGGGACUGAGACACGGCCCAGACUCCUACGGGAGGCAGCAGUGGGGAAUAUUGCACAAUGGGGGAAACCCUGAUGCAGCAACGCCGCGUGAGUGAUGACGGUCUUCGGAUUGUAAAGCUCUGUCUUCAGGGACGAUAAUGACGGUACCUGAGGAGGAAGCCACGGCUAACUACGUGCCAGCAGCCGCGGUAAUACGUAAGUGGCAAGCGUUGUCCGGAUUUACUGGGCGUUAAGGGAGCGUAGGUGGAUAUUUAAGUGGGAUGUGAAAUACUCGGGCUUAACCUGGGUGCUGCAUUCCAAACUGGAUAUCUA